UGGGGAAUAUUGCACAAUGGGCGCAAGCCUGAUGCAGCCAUGCCGCGUGUGUGAAGAAGGCCUUCGGGUUGUAAAGCACUUUCAGCGAGGAGGAAGGUGGUGAGCUUAAUACGCUCAUCAAUUGACGUUACUCGCAGAAGAAGCACCGGCUAACUCCGUGCCAGCAGCCGCGGUAAUACGGAGGGUGCAAGCGUUAAUCGGAAUUACUGGGCGUAAAGCGCACGCAGGCGGUUUGUUAAGUCAGAUGUGAAAUCCCCGGGCUCAACCUGGGAACUGCAUUUGAAACUGGCAAGCUAGAGUCUCGUAGAGGGGGGUAGAAUUCCAGGUGUAGCGGUGAAAUGCGUAGAGAUCUGGAGGAAUACCGGUGGCGAAGGCGGCCCCCUGGACGAAGACUGACGCUCAGGUGCGAAAGCGUGGGGCAGCAAACAGGAUUAGAUACCCUGGUAGUCCACGCUGUAAACGAUGUCGAUUUUGGAGGUUGUGCCCCUUGAGGCGUGGCUUCCGGAGCUAACGCGUUAAAUCGACCGCCUGGGGAGUACGGCCGCAAGGUUAAAACUUAAAUGAAUUGACGGGGUC
rnacentral:rRNA from 1 species